rnacentral:rRNA from 1 species
AUUGAACGCUGGCGGCAUGCUUUACACAUGCAAGUCGAACGGUAACAGGCCGCAAGGUGCUGACGAGUGGCGAACGGGUGAGUAAUGCAUCGGAACGUGCCCAGUCGUGGGGGAUAACUACUCGAAAGAGUAGCUAAUACCGCAUACGAUCUAUGGAUGACAGCGGGGGACCGUAAGGCCUCGCGCGAUUUGAGCGGCCGAUGUCAGAUUAGGUAGUUGGUGGGGUAAAGGCUCACCAAGCCAACGAUCUGUAGCUGGUCUGAGAGGACGACCAGCCACACUGGGACUGAGACACGGCCCAGACUCCUACGGGAGGCAGCAGUGGGGAAUUUUGGACAAUGGGCGCAAGCCUGAUCCAGCAAUGCCGCGUGCAGGAAGAAGGCCUUCGGGUUGUAAACUGCUUUUGUACGGAAAGAAACGGAUCUGGUUAAUACCCGGGGCUAAUGACGGUACCGUAAGAAUAAGCACCGGCUAACUACGUG